UCUUCCUGGCCAGUAGUGUCUUAUGUGUGGGAACAGGUUUUUUUUGUGUAGGGCUGUCCUCUGUGUUUGUGUCUGCUGUUUGUUUGUCUGUGUGUUUUUGGGGCUGGAGCUGCCUUGCCUGUGGGUGUUAGCCAUGGUGGUGUGUGGAGUGUGUCCGUGAUGGACUGGAGUGGUGGUGUUGCAGGCAUCGUCUGAGUGUGUGAUUUCUCUCUGUGCUUGCAGGUUUUGCGGGAAGUUGUGGAGAGAAGCAGCUGAGUGCUGAGAAGAGCCUGAGCAGGUCUGCUGUGGGCCUUUCCCAGGCGUGGCUGAGACUUUCAGGUGCCACGGGCUUCCUCCCCAGGCAUUGGAGUUGUUGUGGUGCAGGUGAUGAAGGCAAAUGUGGUGAGCAAAGGAAGAUCAGUGUGGAUGCGGCUGCUGCUGAGGAUGGCUCUUGAGGACCGGUGACCUACAGCACUGCCACAGUUAAGUUGAGGGGCAAAGGGUGUUGGGGCAUCCUCAGUUUCUGUGUAUGUGUGUGUGCGUGCUGAUGUUCAGUGUAGAGUGGAGGGUUGUUCUGGAUGAGUGGUGUGUGUG